ACGUAGGAGGCAAGCGUUGUCCGGAUUUACUGGGCGUAAAGCGCACGUAGGCGGCCUAGCAAGCGGGGAGUGAAAGCCCUCGGCUUAACCGAGGAAGUGCUUUCCGAACUACUAGGCUUGAGUACGCAAGAGGGUCGCGGAAUUCCCGGUGUAGAGGUGAAAUUCGUAGAUAUCGGGAGGAACACCAGUGGCGAAGGCGGCGACCUGGGGCGAUACUGACGCUGAGGUGCGAAAGCGUGGGGAGCAAACAGGA
rnacentral:rRNA from 1 species